rnacentral:lncRNA from 1 species
GAAGAUGCUCACACCCCAAAUGUCUAGAAGUCUAGAACCUUCCACUUAAACAAUAUUUUAUUAGUACUAUCUUCUUUUUUUAAUUAUUUCUUAGCAACUCAAUAGGUGGAAUUGCUGACUCUUCUUUUCUAUUAAUAAUUAAUAGCCUUUUAGCACUUACUUACAAAGCUUCUUUAUCCCUGGUGUCCAAAGCAAUUUAUUCACUAAAAUAACUCAACUUCUUAACUGCAUAAACUACCUUCCCCAAAGAGUUGAGGAAUUGACAUAGAUAGACAAGUGUUACAUACAAUUGACAACAUAUAGCUCAAUAUUAAUUAGCAAUUAAUAAACAAAUAAAAAAUUGGCACAUAUUAGCCUAAAAAUAAUAUAUACAUUUUCUAAAUUAUUUUAUUAAUAAUAAAAGAUAUUUAAUAUCAUCUCUCUUCUAACUUCCAACCAUUACUCCUUACAACUAGCAAAAGAUUAUUUAGAAUUAUCUCUCCUUUCAAAUUAUUACGUAUUUUUUUUUAAAUAAUAAAAGAAAAUUAAUUACAUCCUUCUUCUAACUUCCAACCAUUUCUCCUUAAAACUAGCAAAAGAUUAUUCCUCUCUCCUUUCAAAUUAUUUCGUAUUUUCAAAAAUAAUAAAAGAAAAUUAAUACCAUCUCUAUUCUAUCUUCCAAUCAUUUCCACUUAAAACUAGCAAAAUACUGUUUAGAAUUAUAUCUUUUCUUAAAAUUAGCAAAUAAUAUUUUGAUUAUGAUUAUUCUUAUUUCAAAGGUAUUCCUAUGAGUUCAUUACCUGACAAUUAUUUUGCCUUUGAACUCAAUCCAUAUUGAAUACAUUUGUUUGUAUUCAUAAUAAAUUGAUAUACAUUUAUAUUUAUUUGCAUUAAUAUCUUCCAAAUUUUACAUAGGUAUACAUUUGUAUUGGAUACAUUCGUCUAUAUUCAUUUAUAAAUUGAUAUACAUUUGUUUGCAUUAGUAUCUUUCCAAUUUUACAUAGGUAUAUAGUUGCUUGCAUUACUAUUUUGGAAUGAAAUCAACAAAAUUCAUUAACAAAUUUUAAAAAGUUUACAUUGUUAUGUGUUCGUUUGUAUUCAUUAACAAAUUUAGAUACAUUUGUUGGAGACAAAAUAAAUAUUCAUUAUCAAAUUCAAAUAAUGAAAUUCAACAUUUUAAAAAAUUGUCAUAAAUAUAUUAAUUAAUAUUUAUUAAAAAUUGAAAAAACAACAAUUCUAGAAAUCACGAAACGUUGCAAUUUUUUGGGGAAGAAAACGUUGUAGAAUUAUAAUACAAAUACGAAAGUUUUUCAAAAGAAAAAAAUCUUGCAUCUAACUACAAGAUAAAGAAUUUAGAAAAUUUCAACUUUUUUUUAAAAAAUAACCCAAACAAUCAAUAUAAAAAAUUGGUAUGAUUUGAUUUACUUAUUGUGAAGAGUUAACUGUUGUGAUUGAUCUUUAAUGGAAAUAUUUUAGAGAAGAAAAUAGAAAUCCUAAACUUGAAAGAGGGAGAAAAAAAGGAAGAAAGAGAGAAAUUGAAAAAUACCAUAAUUCUUUUUGUUUAUAAAUUAUAAGGAGAGAGAAAAGAAACAAUAAAAGAAAACGUCCUAACUCCUGGGAAAUAGAGAGAGAAAAUAAGGAAAAUAUAUCAGUUUUUAAAAAAAGAGAAUGUGGCUAUUUAAUAUCAAAUAAAUAUUAAAAAAUCUUAUUUUGCUAAAAAGUUUAAAGUGGACUAUUUAUUGUCCAUAAAGACUAUGGAUUGUCAUGCUAUGCCAUUUUUUCAUUUUUAAAGUGAGUAACUUAAUUUUAGCCCGGAGAGGUCAAACUUCAUAUACAACUUACAAGUGUUUAUCGCAACUUCAAUUGCAUUAAAAUUUGGAACAAAGUGGUCAAACCGAUGUGUGUCAAUGCAAACAUAUGAAUAUUUCUACAAAUCAAUUGUUGCAUUAUAAUACUAAGUGCAACUUAACAAACUUAGAGGUCGUUUUGAUACGAUAUAUUAGAGAAAGUAAUACGUAAUAUGGUAUAUAAUCUAUUUAAAUUUAAUUUAGUUACUUUGGAAUAUUAAUAUAAUGCGCAAAAAAGUUUAUAUAUGCCACUAAAUUUUGGAAAUCGGGUCAAUUAUGGCAUCUGUCAAUAAUUAAUGUAAUAUGUUGUUCUUAUUUUAUCAUUGGGCGAAAUAUACCCUUAUUUAUUAAUGUGAGUUCAUGAUGCAUUAGCUAUUAAAUGACUCUAUGACCUAUUAUAGAUAUGGUUAAUUUUGUGGUGAUUAUACUUGUCUACUGUGAGUUGAUGCUCUGUGCCAAAGUCUUAUUUAAUUACUUGUUGUUUGUCUUACAUGUUGCUUGUUUUUAAUUUGUGUCGGCCAAUAAUAUAUACCAAUACUUAAUGAUUUGUAUUGAUACUACCUUGUACUCUUCUUUUAUUGAAUUCAAAUCGUGUUCUAGAAGUUCUUUCAAGACUCCAAUUCUAGCGUAAUUAGCAGAUUUCGAUUAACACGAUCUAUCACAGACCAUGAGAGAUUAACAAUCUUCUCUUCGGGGUCAGUGGCAUCCUUGUUACCAUGAUAGUCUAAAUUAAUGUCUGAAUAUCUUCUCUAUCUGUAUAUUGUCAUCAUUUCAAUGAGAAUGAAAGCUCUCGCGUAGAGAGAUUUUUUUUUUUUUAAAAAAAUGUUCUUCAAAUUGAAGGCAUCUUUCAAGUUUAAUAAAUAUUUUUGAAAAAAAUACAAACAUUGAAUGAAAAUAUAAUUAAAGUUUAAUAAAAUUUGUAAAUAAUUGAUCAAAAAAUACAGAAUUUGUUAAUUUAGUAAAAUUUGUGGACACCUUAACAAUAUGUGAAAUGGAAGUACUACUCUCACAACAUGCUCUUAACAAUAUUAAUCGAUUUAUAAAAUUUAUGAACAAUUUAACAUGAUAUAUAGGUAGAAUAAAGAUAAUAUUAAAACUAUGUCUCAUCCAACAUAAUUUGUAAAUAAAAUAAGAUUUCUAAAUCAAUAAAACUUAUGAACAAUUUAACCAAAUAAACAAAGUGAAAAUAAUAUAAUCUCUAUCACCUUUUGCAUGAUAUUUUUCCACCAACCCCCUUUCUUGUUUUUUUUUCUUGUCUUGAUAGUAUAUAGUUUUCAUUUUUUUUUAAUGAUGUCAAUCAAUAAUAAGGCAGUCACAAUCCCACCAAUCAAGUUGCCCGAAACUGCUGUUUCAAAAACCACUUCUUGCAACUUGCAACUCUUGUGGGCCCAAACCACACCUCAACCAUACCUAAGUUCCAGAACUUUCUUAUAAAGAACCUUCUCUUCCUUCCAAUUUCGAAACUACUUAUUAUUAAAAAAAUUAGAUUACAUAUAUUAUCCUCUCCGCUCCGUUUUAACACACUUUUCUUUUUAGUCCAUCUUAAAAAGUAUUACACAUUCUCUCAAAUAUUUACUAAUAAUAUCAAUAUAGAUGACUAAAUCUACCACACAUAUAAAAUGUAAUUUUCUAUUUUAAUUUUUCAUGUCCAAUCAAACUACGUACAUAAAUUGAAACGGAGGAAAUAAUAAAUAAAAAAUUGCAUAGGAGGAAGAUGCUCACACCCAAAUGUCUAGAAGUCUAGAACCUUCCACUUAAACAAUAUUUUAUUAGUAUUAUCUUUUUUUUAAAAUUAUUUCUUAGCAACUCAAUAGGUGGAAUUGCUGACUCUUCUUUUUUUAUUAAUAGCCUUUUAGCACUUACUUCCAAAGCUUCUUUAUCCAUGGUGUUCAGAGCAAUUUAUUCACUAAAAUAACUCAACUUCCUAACUGCAUAAACUACCUUACCCAAAGAGAAACUUUCCAUUUCCAAAAUCCAAAAUCCAAACUUUUUUCUUCCUAAAAAUACAUAUAUUUUCCCCUGUUUCUUGAUGAUGAAUCAAUUGUAUUCUGUUAAAGAGGAGUUCCCGGGGUCAAGUUCUGGUGGGGGUGAGCCCCCACCGCUGACACCACAACCAAUGGAAGGGCUUCAUGACAUUGGUCCACCACCAUUCCUUACAAAGACAUAUGAAAUGGUGGAUGAUUCAACUAUAGAUCAUGUUGUUUCUUGGAACAGAGGAGGUCAAAGCUUCGUAGUCUGGGAUCCUCAUGCCUUUUCAACUACACUACUUCCCAGAUUCUUCAAACACAACAAUUUCUCAAGCUUUGUCAGACAGCUAAAUACUUAUGUAAGUAUAUAUAUAUAUAACUUCGUCAAAAAUCAAUGAACUCCUCUAAUACAUUUUUUUUUUCAAGUGGGAAACUUUCGUUCAUAUAUACUUACUUGCUCCUGAUUGCUAAAUCUUUGUGAACACACAAGUGAACAAGGCUAUUAGUAGGAAGGAGAAUCUCAAAAAUAAAUAAAAUCCCAUUUGGAGUAUUAAUGUGAUGAUAUAUGGAUGCAACUUAACUUUUUAGAAUUGUGUUUUUUUUUUAUUAUUAAUUUCAGACGAAUUAAGAUCUGGUGAUGUUCCUCUGAUGAAUCCUUCAAGUUCUGGUGGUUGGUAUAACAUAUUAAAAUAUUCAUCGUGCUGCGGACCCAAAAAAAAAAAAAAGCACUAGUGUCAAGAAUUGUUUGCUAAGAUGGAUCUUGGAAAAAUUUGGAAGAUGAUGAUACUAAGCUGUAGAUGGGAUUUGAUUGUUGCAGGGAUUUAGAAAGAUUGAUCCAGAGAGAUGGGAAUUCGCAAACGAGGCAUUUCUAAAGGGGAGUAAGCAUCUUCUAAGGAACAUCAAGAGGCGAAAAACGCCUAAUUCUCCUACAGAGCAAGGUCUCGGUCCUUGUGUCGAAUUGGGAAGAUUUGGAUUUGAUGGAGAAAUUGAUCGAUUGAGGCGUGACAAGCAAGUAUUGAUGAUGGAACUAGUGAAGCUUAGACAGAAUCAACAGAAUACUCGAGCUUACAUUCGAUCUUUGGAGGUAAAGUUACAAGGAACAGAGAGGAAGCAGCAACAAAUGAUGAAUUUUUUAGCAAGAGCUAUGCAAAAUCCGGAGUUUGUCCAUCAGUUAAUCCAUCAAAAAGGGAAGAGAAUAGAAAUUGAAGAGGAUAUAACUAAGAAAAGGCGACGACCUAUUGAUCAUCAAGGUCCUGUUAGUACAUUACAUGUUGGAGGAUCUAGCCAUUACAUCAAAUCAGAACCCUUGGAAUUCGGAGAGGCUAACGGAUUCCAAGUGUCUGAACUUGAAGCACUUGCAUUAGAAAUGCAGGGAUUUGGUAGAGCAAGAAAAGAUCAACAAGAAGAGUACACGAUAGAAGGGCUUGAACAAUUUGGCAACACAGAUAAAGAACUUGAUGAGGGGUUUUGGGAAGAGCUAUUUAACGAUGAGGACGUGUCUGGAAAUGAAGACCGUGAAGAGGAAGAUGUAGAUGUCUUGGCAGAAAGGUUAGGGUUCUUUUAUUCGAGACCUUAGUAAAAGCCCUAAAACUAGUUUUGUCUCAUGUGCUUUUCCAAGAACUCAUUCAUCAGCUGGACCGUUACAUCGAAAUCUUGUAUGAACUUACAUUGUGUUAUAUACUACUACUACUACUAGUUAACUUAUGUGUCUUGAUUCUGUGUAGUGAGUUUUCAAGUUUUCAACGACGAAUGAAGAAAGCAGCUAUAUGGAUCAACCAGCUACUCGUUGGUAAGUUUUUUCUUUCGGAACAAAUAUUCUAGUCUCUUUCUGUGCAACUUUAGGCCUUUCUUGUAAACUUUAUUUUAAUUUCAUUGACAGGAUAGAUUCAUGAAGGACUCAAGAGUCAAGUCUGAAAAUCCCUUGUUGGUUUUUCUGGUUACUAUUUAUGUUCUCAGUUAUUGGUUUCCUUUCAAUGCCUUUGUUACAUCUCUGCCUCUUAUUCUUGUUUUUUUUCUCUGGAUCCAAAUGCAGGCAUAGGUUAUGCAGAAUUUGAUCAAGUCUAUGGUCUUUCAAGGUCAUUUUGGGUAAUAAAAAAUGUCAACGAGUGCAUGUUGAAUUCUUCAAAAGUAAUGUAUUUUUGAAGAAACUGAUACGAGUGCGGCAUCAAAGUAAUAUUGAAAUGUUGUCCUUGCUUGUGUGGUGAAUAGAUUGUUGUCUUUAUGAUGAAGACAUAGGUAACAAACAGAAAUCCCAAUUACAUCAGAAUCAAGAUUUCACCACAAGUGGCGGUUUGUAACUACUUUGCUGACAAAGAUUUAAUUUGUUUGCCAUUUAGUGUCCUUGUCUCUAUUUGUGAGAAAUGAAUCAUGUCCAAUUGUCCAUGUUCCAUAUAAAAAAAAAUCUCCUUUUGUUGGCUUUAGGAAUGAAAAUUUAAAUAAAAUAAACUAGAAAUGGAGAUGAAACAUAUAAUUAUAUUCGAGUCCACUGAAUUUAGAGUGUAUUCUUAAGAAACUCGAUCCAUGUUAGUAUUGGAGGUAUAGGAUUAUUUUCUCCCAAGAUAAAUCACAUUAACGUAACGAUACUUCAAACUCCAAUGUACAUAAAACUCAAAGAACCAAACCGCUGUGAUUGGCACCCAUACUAACCCUCUGGUGGAAGAACCAUUACUACAACCCAACUAAACAAUACUAACCGAAAGACGGGCAUUUAAAGAUGUGGAAACAGGUUUAAAUAAUUAAUUUAAAAUUUGAGUUCCCAUAAACUCAGUAAGUUUUCAAAAACAAACAUAAACAAAUGGAAAUUCAACCCCUAAAACCUAAAAGUCAUUGUACCACAAUUUCUAACUAAACAGUCUAAGAUAAGGGGAUACAACCCCACAAUAACUAAACAUAAAGUAAAGAUUCUGAAAGGUCUAAGCCCGAAGGAAAUGGACUAAGAUCCUAGAUGAAUAUAAUCCAUGGUAGCCUGAAGGAACUGGCUCACCCUUGAACUCGACAAGUUAGUGAUCUCCUAGCUGAGGUCUCUCAACAGCCGUCUAAAGAUGUCAUGUACUCAACAAAGAAAGAGAAAGUGCAGUAUUAGUACACAAACCAAUGGUAUACUGGUAGAAUCGCGCGACUAUUCCAGUAAAUGAGACAUACACAAGUAACUACUUCAUAUUAAACCACACAUAUACAGAAAGAAUAACAAUUUACCAGUUCAUGCUCAAUAUAUCAGUUUCACAAUAUCAAAUCUCAAAUGCAACAGUCAAUGAUGGUUCUCCCAUGGAACCCACACUCAAACUUUUAGUGUGUCGGAACGUGACACCCGAUCCAAUAAUGUGUCAGAACGUGACACCUGAUCCAAUCAUGUGUCAGAACAUGACACUCGAUCCAAUCAACCACAAUCACAAACAUAAUCAGCACCACAAUGAAUGAUUUACACACUUGUGUCGUACAAUCACGUAACGGUUCAUUGCAUGCUACAGAAUCACAAAUAGUCAUUUCAUUAGAGUCAUUUCAUCUUUCUUUAUUCACUUACAUGCAUGAUUACAAUGGAGUAGUUAGCAGACAUAUAUAACACAAACGGAAAAUCAAAUUAUUACGUACCUUGAAGCCAAGCCUGAACACUCUUAAGGAACUUGAACUUUUCCUUUCCGGAGUCUCUCAGCUUGUUCUUGGUCUAAAACAAGUAAUUAAUGCAAAUGAUCAAUAAUAGUGGCCUAGUUUACUCGGAUUAUAUUCAAAUACUAACCCUUGGAUGAUUCCAUGAUUCUAACACCCAACUAGGGCUUUUUCCACUAUUAAAUUUAAAGCCAAAACCCUCCCCAAGGUUAAAUAGCAAGGAUUCUAAGUUCUAAGAAUCAAUUUACGAAUUAGGGGAGUAAUUGACUUACCUUUAGCGCGAAAAUUAGUGAAAAACAAGAAGAAAUAGCCCUAGGUCGCCCUUUUGCUUUCCAAGAACGAAGUUUGCAGAAAAAUAACAUUUUUGGGACUUUUUCCAUUUUUACUCGCGACUGGCCCGCAAUAGCAGGAAUGAUCUCGUCGUGGCAGUUUGCACGAAGAUAGAGACUCAAAAUUUGUGUUUCAAGUCCCCAUUUUACAACACACCCUCAAACCUUGAUAUUCUAAAACCACUAUUUCACGCUAAGAUCAAUUACGGAAGUUCUACCCACCCGAAUUUGAUUUUGUAAUAUCGUACAGACUCAUUAUCGUCUUGGCUAUCCACACAAAUGAUUAAAUUCAUAAUCUAAUCCCAUAUCCAUUACCGGAUUACCCUAGACCUUAUCUAACUCAGAUUUCGUCCAAGUCUGGCCUAGGCUGAAAAUUUCCAAGUUACUACUCAAAAAAUUGCUGGCCCAAAUUUCUUCCCCAUUUACUUAUCCAUAACGACGGGAAUAGGAAGUUACACACUUGAAGUGAGUAAAGAUCCAUUUCGACCUCAAAAAGAGAAUGAGGAACCUCUUGGUCCUGAAGUACCAUAUCUUAGUGCAAUUGGUGCACUUAUGUAUCUUGCUAAUACUACGAGAGCUGACAUAACAUUUUCUAUUAAUUUUUUUAGUAAGGUAUAGUUCUUUUCCUACACGAAGACAUUGAAACGAAUUUAAACAUAUAUUGUGAUAUCUAAAGGGGACCAGUGAUAUUAGUUUAUUUUAUACUAACAAAGAUAGUGCAGAUAUUGUUGGUCAUGCAGAUGCAGAUUAUUUAUCUGACCCACAUAAAGCUCGAUCUCAAACAAGCUAUUUGUUCACAGACGGAGGUAUUGUUAUAUCAUGGAGAUCUAUGAAGCACUCCAUUGUCGCUAGUUCUUCAAAUCAUGCUGAGAUAAUAGUUAUUCAUGAAGCAAGUGGAGAAUAUGUAUGGUUGAGGUCAGUAAUACAUUUCAUCAAGGAAAGAUGUGGUUUGAAGUGUGAUGUCAAGGUACCCACGAUCCUCUUUGAAGACAAUGUUUCAUGCAUAGCCCAAUUAAGAGGAGUCUUCAUAAAAGGAGAUAGAACUAAACAUAUUUCACCAAAAUUAUCCUUCACAUAUCUCCAGAAGAAUGGUGAUAUUGAUAUACAACAAAUUUGUUCAAGAGAUCAUCCAACGGGUUUAUUCACCAAAUCAUUACCAGCUUCAACUCUUGAGAAGAUGGUAGACAAUAUUGGAAUGUGAAGACUAAACCAUUUGAAUCGUGGUCCUUAUCAGGGGAAGUAAAAUAUGCAGUGUACUCUUUUUUCAUUAACCAAAAUUUUUUCCCACUGAAUUUUUCUGGUAAGAUUUUUAAUGAGGCAGCAAGCAAUGCAUAUUAGAAAUGACUAUGUAUAUAUUUAUUCUUUCACUAGGACUAAUCUUUUACAUGGACAUCUAAGAAGGAGCGUUUAAAAUAAAGGGUGAAUAUUCAUGUGAAUAGAAUUCACUCUUUGGUAGGCUACUUUUGGUCCAUCACAUUACUCCUUGAUGGCCUAGGUACUAAAUUUGUUCAACAAAUUCGGCUAUAAAUAGCUUUUCUUAAAUGAGAAAGAAAGUGCACUCCAUACAAUUCUCUCUUUUACUCAUCUACUUUAAGUGCUAUUUAAGUUUUGUUCUCAUUGUUCUUCCUAUUUAAUCCAGUUUGUUAAGCUAGUUAUUUUAUUUUAUAACAAAAGUCAAUUUUACAUGUUUCUAUCAUAUUAGCAAAAAGAAGACGUCUCUGAAUGUCUUAAAUCAGUGUUUUCAAAAAUGUUUUUUGGGGUGAGUCUAGUAGCGGGACGCAUCAAAAACGCAUCGGGGCGCAAAUGUAAGGCGUAGAUCCAUAGGGUGUAAGUCCUAAAAUUUGGGGUAUAAGCUCCAAGCUUAAAAACGUACGCCUGGGCUUAAAAACGUAUGCAUUGGGAGUUUUUCUUAAAUUAUUUUUGAAUUGUUUUGCUUUAAAUCAUAUUUUUAUCAUUGGUGUAAUGAUAUUUCUCAGAUAGUAAUGGUAAUACUUUUUUUCUUCAUUAUUGGUGAUUAAUAUCUUUCUCAAAUAAAAAUCAUUUUUUUUUUAUAUAUAUAUUAUAGGUUAUUUAAUAAAAUUUAUUUGUAAAAUAAUUGAAAGUUUUACUUUAAUUUUUUUUUAGUAAUAAAAUUAUAAAAUUGAAUAUACAUAAGACUACACCCCGUAGAUCCAUAAGACUUACACCCUGUGUCUCGGGGAUUACGUCUCGCCCUGUACUACAUAAAACGUCUCGCGUCACAUCCCCACCUUUUAAAACACUGCUCAAAACAAAUCAAAUUUCCACUCUAAUUAAACCGUGACAAUUUCUCAAUUCCAUGCAGAGUACAAUAUUAUAUAUACAAAUUAAGCACAUAAAAGAAGAGAGUUUUCAAUAUUAGAUUUUCACAAAAAUAUGUAAAGCUAGAGGACUUUAAUUUGUACCUUUUAUUUUUGGUGUGUGAUUGGAUUUUUCUUAAUAAAUAGUAAUAUAACAAAGUUAUCCUUAUUCAAGGGGAGUGAAUUGUCACCCUCUCGUUGGCAAAUUAUAACGUAUAAAUAGGUUAAAAUUUUCUUUUUAUGUAAAUAUAUUAUAUGUUAAAUUUUGUUAAUAAAUAAAAUUAUAUUUCAACUCUAAUUUGGCAUUCAUGUAGAGUAAUUAAGGCUAUCAUAUAUAGUUGGGGCACCAUGGCCAAAAUAAAAAUAAAAAUUGUUCUUUCAAAUAAAGUACACACAUAUGAUAUAUAUAUAUAUAUAUAUAUAUUAUCAUACGCAAAAUUAUCUUACAAAGUGUUCUCAUCAUCUGUGGUGUGAUCAGCUCGCAUCACAUUUAGAUUUUAGAGUGAGUCUCGAUCUAGACAUAACACAUGAAAAAAAUUAAUUAAUCUUGCUAGGUUCAUCAUUAUAUACUUAUUGAAUACUCGUACAUGAGUGUAUCAAUUAUAAGUUAGUCUCAAAAAAUGAAAUAUUUUCAUACUAGUAAUAAUUAUAUUUUAAAAUAUUCAUUUUACUCUUAAAAAAAUUAUUUAUAGUAACACACAGUUAUAUAUAGGGAUGUGUAUCGAUUAGUGCGGUUUGAUUUUAUAUAUUAUUGAUUCGGUAUAUCGGUUUGAUUUUUAAAUAUGCUUAACCAAUAACUAAAUCAACAAGAUUACUUUUUUAUCAGUCUUCAGUUUAUUGAUUUGUGGUCCUUAACGGUUCGGUUUUCAAUUUAACCAAUGAAAAAAAGGAAAAAUUACUGAAAUACACGUCUUUUGUUUCCCUUAUUUCCAAUAUCACCUUCUAUUUCUAAAAACCUCUAAAAUCCCUUAUUUCUUUAAUGUAUCUGAGCUACAUAUUAAUGUAUCCGAGCCAGUAUUUAAUGUAUUCGAGCUACAUAUUAUGUAUCCGAGCUAGUUUUUAAUGUAUCUGAGUUACAUAUUAUGUAUUCAAUGUAUGUUAUAUGUAUCCGAGCUACAUAUUAUGUAUCCGAUUUGUGUUACUUUUUAAGGGAUUAAUGUAAUUACAAACUAAUGAGGGAUAGAUUGUAAUUUCAUAUUAAAACUAUGGGAUUUAUGUAAGUUAUACAUGAAAAAAUGCUCAUAAGAUAAAUAUAUGAUUAUUCCAAUAAUUUAGCACGAUGGGACAAUAAUGUAUCUUUACAUAAUGCUCAUAAAAACAAAAACAGUAGUAACUAAUGUGAAAAGAACUAUACAAGUGCAACACAAAUAAAAGCACUAUGACAAUAAUGUCAAUUGUAAGCUAAAAGGCAAAUACAGUAUAAAUAAAAGCACUAACUAGCAAGGUAUGCAAGGGCAAAGUAGAAAAUUAUUACCGUCUUAAUGAGUUAUUGAUUUAAUCAAUGUUUAAAGAUCAAAAUUGAACCGAUAACCCGAUAAUUUAUUUUAUAAGACCAUUAAUAAUCCGAUAGCAAUAAAGCAAUAUCAUUUAUUUUGAUUUGAUUUAUUGAUCCAUUCAAUUUUCGCACAUCCAAACAUCCCUAACUUAUUUUAGACGAUAUGUUUUUAAAAAUAAUUUUAAUUUUCAUGUAAAAUCAAAUAAGGGAAGAUCAACGGAUUAAAAAUAUCUUGCCGCCGAUGGUUACGCCUUUAUCCUUUAGCAUAAAUCGAGGAGCCGAAAUUUAUAUUUGGCAGUUGGCACUUGGCACUUACUGUAUUUUUUUCUCAAUCAAUCUCAUUUAAUUAGUUGUAAAAUGUUGAAGAAAAUUAUCUUUUAUUCUCCACUAUAUAUUAUAAAAAUAAAUAUUCUUUUAACAGUAUACCAUACCCUCUGCAAUUUCUGAAAAUUAAAAAAAUUUAAAAACUAAAAAAGAUAAUUAAAAAUUUUAACGUCUGGAAAACUCUAGAACAUACUAGGAUAACAAUUAGAAACUACAAAAUAUGUAUUUUUUUUUAAUAUAUCAUACUUGUUCUUCGUGCUCGUGGUCCUACUAGAGUUGGUGUUUAUCUAUACCGUCAAAUUAGCCAUUUUUUUAAUGUUAUUAAAUUAAUAUUAUACUAUUAUUAGUAUUAUAUUCCAACAUUGGUACAAUAUAUAUAAUAUAAUAUUAGUAGUAUGUUCAGUUGAGUGGGACUAGAUAUGCACCAUUUAAAUUUUGGGGUCACAAGUAGCACUUUAAGUAGGUGUUUUGACCAAAAUUUUUGAAUAAUUUUUAUUUUAUUUAAAAUUUAUGGAAAUAAAAUUAUAUUUAAUUACAGUUUUGUAAAAAUUUGAAACAAUGUUUAUGUUUAAACUAUUAAAAUAUAAUUUUACAAAUGAAAGUGAGUUGCAAAAUAAAUUGUAGUCUUUAUUUGUAGUAGUUUGUGGGAUGAGCCUGUAUCGUCUUUUCGAUUUUAAAGUAGGGAUGUCAUUAGUCCAUUAACACAUGCUUAGAUCUAUUUUGUAAGUGAGCAGUCUUUGAUAGGUCUGCAAAAUCAAUCAAGAAAAUCUAAUAAAUCAACUAUUGAUGGCAUCACAUUAUUUUAGUCAUAUUGAUAUUUUAUAUUAUAGUCGUAUAAAUUAAGCUAUUGUCAGACUUUAUAGAAAAUAUCACAUUAAUUUUAUUAUUAUUAUAUUUUCGAGAGAUAUUGUCAGACUUUGUAGAAAUCACCACAUUGAUUAUUUUUUUUGGUGUUAUAUUCUUUAUGUUUAUUAUUUGCAUAUUUUAGUUUGACUCAGCAAGAAUAGGUAUUAUUUUUCAAAUUUGAAAUUUUCAUGAUCAAACAUAAUUUUUUUAAAAUAAAGUAAAUUACUCUAAAAAAAUAAAUCUUUUUGAUCAACGCCUUACGCAUUUGUGCCUAGAUGGUGUCAGAAUAAAAUUUUAAUACAUUAUUAAACCCACUGUAACGAGGCAAAUUUUAAUACUAUUAUAGUACGAUAAUGAAUUCCAAUUUUGCCACGCAGUGAACCACAAAAAGAUAAUAAUAAAAAUACAAAGGAAUCAACAAAUCUAUAUAUAUAAAGGUGGAUAUCAAACAUGCUGAUGUGGCGCUCUCUAAGGCCAAGAAAUCUAUUUAUCUAUUUUCUUCUUUUUUAAAAUUUUUUUUUUUUUAGGUUUUUCCUAUCAAAUAAAAUAAUUAUUUUUACCAUCUAAUUGAAAGUAAUUACCACAUAUUUAUUGCUUAAUUUAAAGUGGUACAUCAUAAGUUAUAACAACCCUUUGCCUUCUUCUUUGUAACAACCCAAUUAUGACAUGUCUUUUGGCCUUCUCCCAAAUCCAAUUAAAACAUUACGUGCUUAGUUAUCACCUUCUAUCGUUUUAUUUUAUCUUGGUCUAAUAGUGAUUUAUUGUAUUAAAUAGUAAUAUUUAAUUGUCCAUUUUUUUAAUUAAGAGUGAGUAGUAUUUAAUUGUGUAUAUAUAUAUUUUGAAAAUCAGAAAUUUGCAAGAACACUAUUCAAAACUCAAAUUCAUAACAACAUUCUUCAUAUUGCUAACCUUUUUAGAUUUUUAUUGUGCGAGCCAAUCUCCGAUCAAGAAAGAAUGGUUUUGCUCGACGAAGAAUGAUUUUGAUCAGUAUUUGANNNNNNNNNNNNNNNNNNCAGAAUUUGUUACAAUUCAAGUACAAGUAAUUUCAAGGUAGUUUUUGAAGCAGGUUAUAGACAUAAAUUUAAUAUUGAUAUUUUACAUAUCUAAAUGUUUAGUCGUUAUUCUCAUAAUAGCUCUUUUCUCCUUUUCAAUAAAUUUAUAGUACGUAGUUCUUACACUUUUUUUUUUUGUACAAACGUAGUUCUUAUGAUUAGUAGCAUGUUAGUUAAACCUUUUGUUUAGAUAUAUAAAUUUCUGAAGUUAGUGUGGCGAGAAAUCUAUAUACAUUUCUUUCUUUUUUUAUCUUUACCUUUGUAAUUAAUGAAUUGUUAGCUAUGAUUUGUUUUUCUCCUCCUUUUUUAGUUUUAAUAUGUUCCUUUCUUAUUUGACAAUUGUUAUAAAUCAUUCGUUUGUUACAUGAAUAAGGUAGAAUAUCAGGAUCAAAGUUGAAAUUAAAUUUAUAAUUUAUUUAUUUGAGAUAUAAAUUUAGAUAGAAUUAUAAUUUUGAAAUAACUUUGUCCGCAAACCAAAAAAUUCUUCAAGGACUAUGUUGGGAGCAUGAUAUAUUGAUUCAAUCUCCUUCUUUAGAAGGCAUUUCGCAAUACAAAUUAGCUAAUGUGUGGACAUAUAUCUAUAAUUUCAUAAACGAAUAUCUUUUGAAUAUCGAAUAUUUUUUUUAAAAAUGACUACAAGCGCAAAUCAUUAUUGUGAUCACUAAAUCUACAUCUUAUUUUCGUUAACACAACUUUGAUUUAGUUGUUAUAUCAAUUUUCGGACUUCCAUAUUCUUUUUUAUAGUAUAGAUUUAUAUGAUAUUAGUUUUUUAUGAUUUUAUUUAAACAUGACAUGUAAUUCUUUUCUUCCAUUUGUAAUCUUCCCCUAAUUGCUACUUUUGAUUUUAAGAUUGCCAUCUCUUGGACUAAAAAUCACUAAAAUUCUCUAAAUUCUUUUGAGACCAAAUGUGUCUCUCAUUAUGUAAACUAGGGGGUGAGUGCCCGUGCAAGGCAUGGACAAAUUUUUUAUUGAUGUGAAAAUAACGAAGGCAUAAUUGUAUUUAGAAAAUAUAUUACAUACGUAUUGUACAAGGUUAUACAUGAAGCUUAAUGUAGAAGAGAAAAUAAAGAUAUUAAUAUUGCAAUUGCAUGUAAGGUUGUUGAAGCUGAAUACUGUGUGAAGGUAAUGCAGAGCAGGAGAUGAACCAAUGCACGCUUCAAGUCUUUACUUUCAGCUUAGGAUGACUCCUGAGUGUUCCAUACGCCUCAAGAUUUUUAUAUUUUACAUAUGUAUAUCUUACAUUUAUAUUUUUAUUGCAAUUUUUUAUCAAUUAAAUAAAUUUAUAUAUACCGCGCGUAGCGCGGACAAUUUCACUAGUUGAUGACUAUUUUCCAAUACUACAAUGUUGUUGCCAGUUGUCCUAGAUGUCUUUUUUGAUACUCCCCCGAUCUAUUUUUAUUUAUUCGUUAUAUUAAAAAUAAUUUUUUUGCUCGUAAGAACAUGAGUGAGUGGUUAAGAAGUGUGGAUUUUUUUUAUAUAGGAGAUUUGGGAUCGAAUUUAGUCCAUGUAUGAUAUUCGAUUAUAAAUUUGUCGCAUAGAACUUGUAUAGUGUAGUUCACAUCUCUUGUAUAGUUUGCGACUUAUACAUAGUGGGUGGAGUUUGAAAAAAAUAAUAUUUUUACAUAUUUAACUUGAAAACUUAAAACAUAAUUAUUAUUUUGUAUUUAUUUCAUCUUUAUAAUGGAGUACUAAGUAUUGAUAUUUAAAUAUUACAAAGAACAAUAAAAUAAAAUUAUCAAUUUCAUUAUUUAUUACUUAUUAAAAAAAUAUAUUAGUCAAACAUAAGCAAGUAUAAAUAUAAAUAGGAUCGGAGGAGAAUAGUAACUUUAUGCUACUUCAUGUUGAUGGAUUAUUAUGUCUUUUAAAAAUUAAAUUAUUCAUUUAACAUUUAAUGUAUUAAAAUGUAAACUAUAAAUAUCUUGAAAUUGAAAAGUUUAGCUUGAAAAUUUAAAGAAGUUGUUAAAAUACAUGUAUCUAAACUAUUUAAAUUAACUAGGAUUAAUUAUUUAUAUGAUAAUCCCAUGUAUCCGAUUUUUCUUGUUUUUACCUGUUUUGGACAAAUUUUAUAUUUCGUGUCUCCUCCUAAAUUAGCCUAUUAAAACUUAUGAUGAUUCGUCCUAAUUUUAACUUAUAAAUGCAUUUGACUUUAAACCACUUUGACAAUGACACGUUCGUUGACAUGCCUGCUUCAACGUGUUUUUUUUUUAAAAAAAUUAAAAAUUUAUUUCUUUUGUUCUACUUUAAUUUAAUUAGUGUAUAAUUUACUCUUAUUAUAUAAGAGACAGUUUGUGCUGAAGCAGGCACGUCUCCGUCGACGUGCCUGCUUCAACGUGUUUUUUUAAAAAAAAUUAAAAAUUUCUUUCUUUUGUUCUACUUUAAUUUAAUUAGUGUAUAAUUUUUUUUAAAAUUAUGGAAUCCGUUUUAGAUAUGACUUUCAGUUUUAAAUUCAAGAAUUCACGCUGAAGCAUGCACUGUCUUCGUCAACGUGACUGCUUCAGCCAAUUUCGGAAAUUUCUUUCAAUUUUUUUUUUACUUCUUUUGUUAAUUAGUCAAAUAAAUUAAUAAUUAAUUAUAUUAAAUAUAUAUAACAAAAUUAUAUAAAAAUUAUAAUAAAAUGUCUACAUAAAUAUUUAACGUAGUAUAAUUGGAGUUAGACUUUACUUAAACUCACGUAUACUUUGACACUAGAUGCAUGUUGAUAAGUAUGUGGAUAUGUUUGAACUUGAUAAUAUGAAAUAUGAUGCUUGAGUGCAUGAGUGGAUUGGAUACUAUAGAGCUGAUAUGGUACAUGAAUGAAGCUAAUCAUCUUUAUAAUUGAGUACUAAGUAUUGAUAUUUAAAUAUUAUAAAGAACAGUAAAAUAAAAUUAUCAAUUUAAUUAUUUAUUACUUAUUAAAAAACAUAUUUAGUCAAACAUAAGCAAGUAAAUAUAAAUAGGAUCGGAGGAGAGUAGUAACUAUGCUACUUCAUGUUGAUGGAUUCUUAUGUCUUUUAAGAAAUUACAUUAUUCAUUUAACAUUUAAUGUAUUAAAAUGUAAACUAUAAGUAUCUUAAAAUUUAAAAGUUUAGCUUGAAAAUUUAAAGAAGUUGUUAAAAUGAAUGUAUCUAAACUAUUUAAAUUAACUAGGAUUAAUUCUUUAAUGAUAAUCCAUGUAUCCAAUUUUUUUUGUUUUUACCAUUUUUGGACAAAAUUUAUUUUUCGUGUCUCCUCCUAAAUUAGACUAUUAAAACUUAAGAUAAUUCGUCUUAAUUUUAACUUAUAAAUGCAUUUGACUUUAAGACGUGUCUGCUUCAGCGUGUUUUUUUUUAAAAAAAUAAUUUUAUUUCUUUUGUUCUACUUUAAUUUAAUUAGUGUAUAAUUAUCUUAUUAUAUAAGAGACCGUUUGUGCUGAAGCAGGCACGUCACCAUCGACGUGCUUGCUUCGGCGUGUUUUUUUUAAAAAAAUUAUUAUUUCUUUUGUUCUACUUUAAUUUAAUUAGUGUAUAAUUUUUUUAAAAUUAUGGAAUCCGUUUUAGCUAUGACUUUUAGUUUAAAAUUCAAGACUUCGCGCUAAAGCAUGCCCGUCUCCAUCAACGUGCCUGCUUCAGCAAAUUUCGGAAAUUUCUUUCAAAAAAAAUUACUUCUUUUGUUAAUUAGUCAAAUAAAUUAAUAAUUAAUUAUAUUAAAUAUAUAUAACAAAAUUAUUUAAAAUUAUAAUAAAAUGUCUACAUAAAUAUUUAACGUAGUAUAAUUGGAGUUAGACUUUACGUAAGCUCACGUAUACUUUGACACUAAAUGCUUGUUGAUAAGUAUGUGGAUAUGUUUGAAGUUGAUAAUAUGAAAUAUGAUGCUUGAGUGCAUGAGUGGAUUGGAUACUAUAGAGUAGAACCACACUGAUAUAGUACAUGAACGAAGCUAAUCCCCUAUAGAUCAUGGUUAUUAGGCAUACAUAAGACCCCUAAUGUUGUGUGAGUUCAUGAUGCAUUAGCUAUUAAAUGACUCUAUGACCUAUUAUAGAUAUGGUUGAUUUUGUGGUGACUAUACUUAAAUACUGUCCGUUGAUGUCUUGUGCUAAAGUUUAACUUACGUGUUGUUUGUUUCUAAUUUGAGUCGGCCUAUAAUGUCUAUCAAUACAUAAUGACUUGUAUUGAUAUUGGCUUGUACUCUUCUUUUAAUUUAUUGAAUGUAGAUCAUGUUCUAAAAGUUCUUUCGAGACCCCAAUUCUAGUGUAGUCAGCAGAUUUCGAUUAACACGACCAACCAUAGACCAUGAGAGAUUAACAAUCUUCUCUUCGGGGUCAAUGACAUCCUUGUUACCAUGAUAAAGUCCAAAUUAAUGUCUGAAUCAUCAAGAUUCAAAUCAGAUAUCUUCUCUAUCUAUAUAUUGUCAUCAUUUGAACGAGAAUGAAAGCUCUCAUGUAGAGAGAUUUAAAAAAAAUAUUGUUCUUCAAAUUGAAGGCAUCUGUCAAGUUUAAUUAAUAUUUUUGAAAAAAAAUUUACAACUUUGAAUGAAAAUCUAAAUAAAGUUUAAUAAAAUUUAUAAAUAAUUGAACAAUAAAUACGAAAUUUGUCAAUUGAGUAAAAUUUGUGGACAAACUUAACAAUAUGCGAAAUGGAAGCAGUCUCAAAACAUCCUCUUAACCAAACAAUAUUAAUCGAUUCAUGAAAUUUAUGAACAAUUUAACAAGAUAUAUCGGUAGAAUAAAGAUAAUAUCAAAAGUAGGCGUUUGGCCAUGCGAUACUAUAUCACGAUAUGGAAUAAUCAUUUGGACAUGUGAUUUCACGCUGAUUCCAUCUCAUGAUUUCAUAUCAUGAGAUGGAAUACCAUAUUCUCCAAAAAUCAUUUAUGGGAAUUUCAUAUCAUGAUUUGGGAUUUUUUAAAUACAAAAGUUGACCCACAAGUUUAUAUUUUGUUAAAACAAUCUCAUAUUUAUAUCUACUAACCAUUUAUUUCAUACGUAAAUAAACUUAAUAAUCACAUCAUUACUUUUUAAAAUUUAUUAUUUUCACCAACAUAAAAUUUAUUAUUGCUUUAAAUUUGGUGAAUAUAAAUGAUAAAAUAGGAAUUGAUUUGGCGAAUAUAAAUAAGAACGGAGGGAGUAAUACUUUUUUGGUUUUUCGUAAUAAAAAAACUUCUCUUUCGUCUACCUAUGGAAAUGUUUAAAGCAAUUUAAUAUGAAAAAGGACAAAAUUGGUGAUGUAUGUUUGAUAAUCAUUACUUCCAAUAUGUUUGAUUUUAGCACGAAAUUAAUGUACUGAAAAUGUGUAAUUGCACAUAAGUAAAACAAGGCAUGAACCAUAUGAUAUUGACACACAAGUGAAAAUUGUCAUAACUUUUACAGUGUUACAUAAUUAUUUGCGAGAAUACCAAAUGAGUGAUGAAAUAGUUAUGGUCUAUUAUCAUGUAACUAUAGUUGUGAAUGAUAUUGACCAACAAAUGGCUCAAAGUAACAAUGUUGGUUCGUCUUCUCGGUCAUAUGAUCGAAAAAUGCAAGUUCAACGUGAGAAAAUUGUUCAUACUAUGUGGGAGGAUAUAUUAAAUACUAGUACACUACAAUUUAUGCUCAAUAUUUUUUAGUGAAUUAAAGUUUGAUCAAUUAAAGUUAGAUGACACCGUUAAUUAAGUGGAGAACAAAUAGAUUUGUAAUAAUUUAUUAUGCGAUUUUAUAAUUUUUUGUUAUUUGAUAAGAUUGAAUAAACAAUUGAGGCUAUUUUAAUAGUUUUACAACUUAUGAGAUUCUUAUGUUUAUGAGAAAAAUAAAAAAACACAAAAAUUUCAUAUUGCAUGUCCAAACAAAACUCCAACUUCACGGCAUGAUUUCAUAUUAUGAUAUAAUAUCAUGAUUUCAUAUCGCAUGGUCAAACGUGCCUAAAACUAUGUCCCAUCCAACAUAAUUUGUGAAUAAGAUAAGAUUUCUCAAUCAAAUAAAACUUAUAACAAUUUAACCAAAUAAACAGAGUGAAAAUAAUAUAAUCUCUAUCCCCUUUUGCAUGAUAUGUUUCCACCAACUCCCUUUCUUGUUUUUUUUUUCUUGUCUUGAUAGUAUAUAGUUUUCACUUUUUUAAUGAUGUCAAUCAAUAAUAGGGCAGUCACAACCCCACCAAUCAAGUUGCCCCAAACUGCUGUUUCAAAAACCACUUCUUGCAACUUGCAACUCUUGUGGGGCCAAACCACACCUCAACCAUACCUACGUUCCAGAACUUUCUUAUAAAGAACCUUCUCCUCAUCCUUCCAAUUUCGAAACUACUUAUUAUUAAAAAAUUGGAUUACAUAUAUUAUUCUCUCUUGAUCCGUGACAUACUUUUCUUUUUGGUCUGUCUUAAAAAGUAUAACACAUUUUCUCAAAUAUUUAAUAAUAAUAUCAAUAUCUUAUCUAUGUUAGAUGACUAGAUCUAUCACACAUAUAAAAUGUAAUUUUCUAUUUAAAUUUUCAUGUCCAAUUAAACUACGUACAUAAAUUGAAACGGAGAAAAUAAUAAAUAAAAAAUUGCAUAGGAGGAAGAUGCUCACACCCCAAAUGUCUAGAAGUCUAGAACCUUCCACUUAAACAAUAUUUUAUUAGUACUAUCUUUUUAUUAUUAUUAUUUCUUAGCAACUCAAUAGGUGGAAUUGCUGACUCUUCUUUUCUAUUAAUAGCCUUUUAGCACUUACUUCCAAAGCUUCUUUAUCCAUGGUGUUCAGAGCAAUUUAUUCACUAAAAUAACUCAACUUCUUAACUGCAUAAACUACCUUACCCAAAAGAGAAACUUUCCAUUUCCAAAAUCCAAAAUCCAAACUUUUUUCUUCCUAAAAAUACAUAUAUUUUCCCCUGUUUCUUGAUGAUGAAUCAAUUGUAUUCCGUUAAAGAGGAGUUCCCGGGGUCAAGUUCUGGUGGGGGUG